rnacentral:rRNA from 1 species
CAUCUAGGCGAUCAAUCAAGUCGAAGGUGAAAACUUGUGGCUCAACCAUAAGCUUGCCUACGAAACUGAUUAACUAGAGUACUGGAGAGGUGGACGGAACUACACGAGUAGAGGUGAAAUUCGUAGAUAUGUGUAGGAAUGCCGAUGAUGAAGAUAGUUCACUGGACAGAAACUGACGCUGAAGUGCGAAAGCUAGGGGAGCAAACA